GAUGAACGCUGGCGGCGUGCCCAAUACAUGCAAGUCGAACGGAGAUAUUGUAGCAAUACGGUAUUUUAGUGGCGAACGGGUGAGUAACGCGUUGGUGACCUGCCCCGAAGAGGGGGAUAACAGUCCGAAAGGAUUGCUAAUACCCCAUGUGGUUAUUUGGAUUAGAUGCCUUAUAACUAAAGGAGAAAUUCACUUCGGGAGGACCUGCGUCCCAUCAGCUAGUUGGUGAGGUAACGGCCCACCAAGGCUACGACGGGUAGGGGACCUGAGAGGGUGGCCCCCACAAUGGAACUGAAACACGGGCCAGACACCUACGGGAGGCUG
rnacentral:rRNA from 1 species